AGACCCGAAACCCGGUGAUCUAGCCAUGGGCAGGUUGAAGGUUGGGUAACACUAACUGGAGGACCGAACCGACUAAUGUUGAAAAAUUAGCGGAUGACCUGUGGCUGGGGGUGAAAGGCCAAUCAAACCGGGAGAUAGCUGGUUCUCCCCGAAAGCUAUUUAGGUAGCGCCUCGUGAAUUCAUCUCCGGGGGUAGAGCACUGUUUCGGCUAGGGGGCCAUCCCGGCUUACCAACCCGAUGCAAACUGCGAAUACCGGAGAAUGUUAUCACGGGAGACACACGGCGGGUGCUAACGUCCGUCGUGAAGAGGGAAACAACCCAGACCGCCAGCUAAGGUCCCAAAGUCAUGGUUAAGUGGGAAACGAUGUGGGAAGGCCCAGACAGCCAGGAUGUUGGCUUAGAAGCAGCCAUCAUUUAAAGAAAGCGUAAUAGCUCACUGGUCGAGUCGGCCUGCGCGGAAGAUGUAACGGGGCUAAACCAUGCACCGAAGCUGCGGCAGCGACGCUUAUGCGUUGUUGGGUAGGGGAGCGUUCUGUAAGCCUGCGAAGGUGGCCUGUGAGGGUUGCUGGAGGUAUCAGAAGUGCGAAUGCUGACAUAAGUAACGAUA
rnacentral:rRNA from 1 species